rnacentral:rRNA from 1 species
AGAGAGAGACAUGCGCGCAUAUCAAUAAGCGGAGGAAAAGAAACUAACAAGGAUUCCCCUAGUAACGGCGAGUGAAGCGGGAAGAGCUCAAAUUUGAAAUCUUAAAGGGUUUCCCUUUACGAAUUGUAGUUUAAAGAAGUGUUUUCUGUUGAGGUUUUGGUAAAAGUUCUUUGGAGUAGGACAUCAUAGAGGGUGAGAAUCCCGUAUUUGACCUUUACUUUCAACUUUGUGAUACACUUUCAAAGAGUCGGAUUGUUUGGGAAUGCAGUCCAAAAUGGGUGGUAAAUUUCAUCUAAAGCUAAAUAUUGGCGAGAGACCGAUAGCGAACAAGUACCGUGAGGGAAAGAUGAAAAGAACUUUGAAAAGAGAGUUAAACAGUACGUGAAAUUGUCAAAAGGGAAGCGUUUGACACCAGUGUUGUUUUUCUGAAAAUCAAUUAAAGAACUGUUUAUGCUAAGUUGUUUAGACUUUAUCAGCUAUCUGUUUAGUUUUGAGCUUUUCUUUAAUGCACUUUUCAGUUAACAAGUCAACAUCAAUUUCUUUUGCUGUAAAAAAGCUUGAGGAAGGUGGCUUGAGAUUCGUCUUAAGUGUUUAUAGCCUCUUGCCUAUGCAGUCGGAGAGAUUGAGGUCUGCAGCGUAGAUCCUUCGGGGCUAAAUGCAUUUGUGCUAAGUUAUAGCAUUUUAUAGACAACUUGUUGACUAUGAUUUGUCUUGUAGCUUACUCGCUUAUGUUAUUUUACCUACGCUUAGGAUGUUGAGCGCAUGUCUCUCUCU